AGCAGCCGCGGUAAUUCCAGCUCCAAUAGCGUAUAUUAAAGUUGUUGCAGUUAAAAAGCUCGUAGUUGAAUUUCGGGACUAAUAUGUCGGUCGUACUUUGUACGUACUAGCAUUAUUGGUUUCUCCCUUCUGACGAACCACGAUGUCAUUAAUUUGGUGUCAUGGGAAAUCAGGACUGUUACUUUGAAAAAAUUAGUGUGUUUAAAGCAAGCUCGCGCUUGAAUACAUUAGCAUGGAAUAAUGAAAUAGGACGUUUGAUUCUAUUUUGUUGGUUUCUAGGAUCGACGUAAUGAUUAAUAGGGAUAGUUGGGGGCAUUAGUAUUCAAUUGUCAGAGGUGAAAUUCUUGGAUUUAUUGAAGACUAACUACUGCGAAAGCAUUUGCCAAGGAUGUUUUCAUUAAUCUAAGAACGAAAGUUAGGGGAUCGAAGACGAUCAGAUACCGUCGUAGUCUUAACCAUAAACUAUAGCCGACUAGGGAUCGGAUGAUGUUAAUUUUUAAUGACUCAUUCGGCGCCUUAC
rnacentral:rRNA from 1 species